GUUUAAAUAAUUUAAUAAAAAUAUUGAUUUUGUAAAUCAAUUAUAAGAGCCCAAUCUUUUUAAACU
rnacentral:tRNA from 1 species